CUUCAUGGUUCGGUCAUUGCAUGAUCUUGUUAUUGAACCUUUGCCACACCUCAUGUAAGGACUCACCACUAAGUUGAUGGAAAUUUGUGAUCUCAUCUCUUAGUUG
rfam:Capsicum annuum cultivar Zunla-1 chromosome 1, whole genome shotgun sequence